GACGUAGGGCGCAAGCGUUGUCCGGAAUUAUUGGGCGUAAAGAGCUCGUAGGCGGCUUGUCACGUCGGAUGUGAAAGCCCGAGGCUUAACCUCGGGUCUGCAUUCGAUACGGGCUAGCUAGAGUGUGGUAGGGGAGAUCGGAAUUCCUGGUGUAGCGGUGAAAUGCGCAGAUAUCAGGAGGAACACCGGUGGCGAAGGCGGAUCUCUGGGCCAUUACUGACGCUGAGGAGCGAAAGCGUGGGGAGCGAACAGG
rnacentral:rRNA from 1 species